GGGCUUGUGGUACAGUGGUAGCACGUUCGCUUAGCAUUGCUUGGGGCUUGCGAAAGGUCCUGGGUUCAAUUCCCAGCAAGUCCA
rnacentral:tRNA from 1 species